UUAUUAUGAAUUAAGUAUAAUGUAUAUAUCACUUACAAUGAUAAGGUCUAUUUUGUAGAAUUCAUAUAUAAUAAGUAUUUUAAAAAGAAAUAAUUAAAAUUAAUAUGAAUAGUAUAUCUCUUAUAUGAGAUUAGCAUUAAAUG
rnacentral:tRNA from 1 species